rnacentral:sRNA from 1 species
CAAGCUUUCCAAUUAAUGACAUUUGAAAAGCUGAUAUUUGCAGAACCGAUUGGUUUAUAUUUUAUUUUUUUUGAAUUUAGUGUUAAGUUAUAUUCAAAGAAAAAAUAAACGUUUAUACAUGUGAAUGCAAAAUUUUCUUAGCAUAUAGAAUAAAGUUUUAUAUCCUUGGUGUUAUAUCGAUGCGAACCACACUUGGAAUCCUUCCACAUAUUUCUCUACCUUCCCUUUUACACUAGCCAUG